AGAAUCCCUGGAUUCUGCCAGAAGAGAAGGCAGGAGUGUGUUCUCCUACCUGCCUAAGAAAAAGAGAUAUGAAAGCCUCUCUGAGGAAAAGGGGGCAAGGACUAUAAAACUCAGUUUGGGACUGAUGACCUGAUAUAGGGUCACUGAUCUUUUGCCCUGUGGGAUUAUUCUUUAUUACCUGAGGAAGGGUGAGAUUAUAAAUGACCUGGCUGGCGUUGUGAGAAGAAGCUGACUGUCACAGGGACAGACUGCUGGCUGGUGAGGGAAACUGAGGUGGAGUCAUUGCAACACCAUGCCUGGCCAUGAGAGGACAUGUUGGCAGCAAGCUGCAAGUUUUGGAUAGCUAAAAGCAGAAGGAAGUGUCUUACUGAAUUAACUGAAAGGAACAAGAACUGAGGGUUUUCCUGUAGCCUGUAACAUGUUGACUGGCUGAGAGUACACUGGUACAAUUUAGCCACUUACCCAUCAUGACUGAGGGUUUGUUCAUGGCUGUGUCUCCAAGCAGAGAGAGCAGACUGGUUCCCUUUGCAUCAGUGGCUUUUUGGGAGGAUUCCCCAGCACAGCAGGUUACAGGUACUCUUUUUCUCUGAGCCCUAUACCUGUGGUGGCUCUACUGCUGUAUGAUGGAGUAAUUAUUGAUUGCACGUCACCCCCAGAAAGCCAGGCUGCCUUUCCCUGUCCCCCCUGAUUUGUAAGAUGAAAGAGGGACUGUAUGCAGCAGUUUUCUGUCCCCAUAAAGAGAGAGGAUUUUUUUCUGAUCCUGCUGAGCAGUCUGAGAGUUGUUAGUGGAUCUGGGAGAUGUCCGCUUAUAGUUUGCAAAGCCGUGUCUUCCAUUGAACACUUCAGGGUGUGAAAAAGAAAGCAAUCUUUCAGAAGUGGUAUGCAGCAUGAAGAGCUGCAGAUGGUGGUAGGGGAACCAGAAAACCACACUUUGCCUGUGGCAGACAACUCUGAAGAGGACUAUUUCCAUGGGGCACAGUCAACCACUCUGGGUGCAGGAGGAGAUAGUGAGGAGGAGAAUGGUGCAUCUCCAGUUAGUCCAGCACCACAUGAGGCUAAGCCUCAGCUGCAGGGCACUGGCCAGAGACCAUCAGCAUCCUCUGAAACCUUGUCCACUAUGCUGCUUCUGGAAUGGAUGUGGUUGAUGCUGGUACUCACACUCCCAGGUGGGAGGAAAGUCACUGCCUCUAUCUCUGCUGAGCAUGGUUUUGAUGGGAACUCUAAGGGGAAGGCGGUGCUCCCACGCUGCAUUUCUCUCAGCAGCAAAAGUCACCGCCAUCUACAAUCCUCUACCCCCGUGCCCCCUGACAGCACCGGUGUCAUUUGCUAACUCCUGAAAAUGGAGGAUGAGUCUGGGUAUGACCCCAAAAGGAUGGGGAUAUCAGGGACGGUUAAAAUCCAUCAAGAACAAUCACAGAGUGCACAUGAUGGAACCAGUUAGCCCAGAGCUUACAGAAAAGCAAACAGCAACUCCAGAGCAGAGGCUGACUGUGACACCACCAAUGUUUUCCAUGACUUUGUCAGCCAAGUCCAGCAGCAGAUUGUAUUCACAGGGGGCAAAAACAUGAAUGCAACCGCCCUGUGACUGUGAAACCUGACCACAGUGAGCAAGGAUGCUGGCUGUGGACAUUCUUCCUUUCUCCCACGUGGAGGGAGACGGCUUCAGACACUUUGUGGCUGCAGCUGCCCCCAGGUGGCAGAUCCCUAGCUGCACUUCCUGGCAUAAAAGGAAGUGCCAGAUCUGUGUGCUGCUAUGAAAAGUACAGAAUGGUGUAGCCUAGGUGGGCAAGUGCAGCAGAACACUGACAUAUGGACCAGUAGUCAGACAACUUCCUAAAUGGCUGUUAUGGCCCACUGGGUGAGCAGCAGUAGCAGGAAGACAAACAGCAGCACUGGCACAUGUACCCUCACUCGACAGCAUGCCAUGCUUUGGAUGUCUGGAUUUGAAAAACAGCACACCUUCUGGAACAUCUUGGAUGCACUGUGCUGUCAUGGGCGGCGUGUGAACUGCUGGUUCGGGGAGGCGAGCCCCACCCCUUCCCCUUCUGCAUCCCCCAGUGCAAACCCCCCAGCUUUUGGCUCCCUCCCCAUGUUAGUAUCCCCAGUCCCCAAACGCCGGGAGGGCAGGUGGCGUGGCCCCAGCCCGAGCCAGGGCCACAGCACAGGGGGGAAGAGCCACGGAGUGGGAAGCAGCUGGAAAAGACACUGGAGGUGGAGCAUAGGCGGGGCCACAGUUGGUUGUUUGGGGAGGCUCAGCCUCCCCCAGACUAUGAUCCCGCUGCCCAUGUGUGCUCUCAUAGAGGGGUGGCUAAGGCCCCUCCAGCUUCUUUGCUGUGACUGUGGCAAUGAACUACGGAGUAAAUUAUGUGGUGUAGGAUGGUGACUUCCAGCAUGUCCCUUGCCUCACUUGUUGCUUCAAUCUGAUAGAGGGAAUUUCUGGAGGAGGGAUGCAGAGUUGCAGGCACUCUCUCAGUGGCUAGUAAGCUAUGUGGUCACUUCAGACAGUCCUCUGAAGUACGCCACAACCUUUAAAGACUAGCAGGAGUCACUAAAACUGUCAUCCCCCCAGUUGGAACACUCCCUUUUACAUGCUGGAACAGUUCUACGGGCAGCCUGCAAGCAUUCUGCGUCCAUAAAGUUGAGGCAAGGGUAACCCACACACCUCCUGGGUGUGGUGCUCUGUCCCCUCUAAAGGCACUGAGACCACUUAGAGAUGAAUGAACCUGCUACAGUCUUAGCUAAGGGCCAUGUGGCUUUUAGCUCAUGCAGUAGAGGCUCAUGUAUUUAGCUCAGAAGUCCCAGUUUCAAUCCCAACAACCGGGGUCUGUCAGUGUUACACAAGCACAGACACACACUUAUCUCCAUUUGUCACCAUCCUACUGGCUGCUCAGGAAGAAGCUAGCUGACAUCCUAUGGCACACUGACAUCACAACUAGUUAGUGAGGAUGACACAAGAAUCAGCCAAGUAAUUCCCUCGCUGUGUCUGCUGUGGGGAGAGAACUGAGAUGCACACAGAUCUACUUCCAGGAAUGGGACGACAUCACUGGUGAAUCACCAGUGCAGGUCAUGCUGACUACUCUUCUAGGAAAUU